UUUGUAAGAAAUGUCAUGGGUUUGAUAAAUGAAAUUAUUUGUUAGGCCAAAUACGACUGGAAACAAUUAACAUUACAUUAUUAUUUUCUCCCAGUGAGAUCGCAGAACAUGGUUUUACUGACCAUAGAACGCCAAAUAUUUCAUCUCACUGCAAUUAUAUUAGAAGGCAUGAUUUCUUUUCAGUACUGUACUUGAACUUGGUCAGGUGGAAUCAUACAUCCCAAAUGGGCAAUUGUGGUGGACAAGAAAUUCAGGAACCAUCGGCUCUGCUUAGAUCAUUUGUCCUUAUAAUUGAGAAUUUACCCAUCACCUGUCAAACCAGGCUAGACAGAAUGUCUGAUUUGCUGUCUGGCAAAACAUCUGGAGUCUGAAUCAUACCCGGUUACAUCUUCUUGACUACUCUCCUCCUUUCUUCACUGCUAUCCCUCUAAUCUCCUGCUUCUCUUUCUGCCAGACUGUUGAGUGUGGUUCUGUGAAACACAGUGGCCCUGGAUGGAAAUAUAGCAUGGCAUCAAAAGGACAGAAAACAGACCUCUGGAGUUUUCUCACCAGCCCUAAUACUGAACUCCCUUGAUAUCUUUGGAAAUCUCAUGAAAAUUCCAUGCCUGCUUGAAAGAGUAGAAUGAAGAGGAAGAGGAAGAAGUUCUUGUCAGAACGAUCUUUAGUGGUGGUGGGAAACCCUAGUUUGGUUUCAUCGAAGAAGUCAGUUAUAUUGUGUUCCACGUGUUUCUCUCUGUUUCCAGCCUCCUGCACUUUGCCUCAGUGUUUUUUCUUUCCACACCUAUAUUUGCUUCUCUGGGCUGAAUCGUACUGACUCAGUUAUUCCUUGCAAGUAUUGGUCAGAUUAUACCAGUGCAGCCAAGUGUUUCUGAUUGUGACCUGGAUGAUCCUUUCUCCUCUCCUUCACCGUAUUUCACAUAAUCUAAAUCUUUUUGUGGGUGGGGGAUUAAGUUUGGGUUCACUGGACUAUUCUCUUAAAUGUCCCCAUCAUUGGAUGUGUAAACCAUGAUGCCUUUUCCCCCCCACUUAUUUGUACUGAAAUCAGAGUUGCACUUACGGUUUUGACCAAGUCU
rnacentral:lncRNA from 1 species